rnacentral:tRNA from 2 species
GGCGACGUAGCCAAGUGGUUAAGGCGGCGGUCUGCAAAACCGCUAUUCACCGGUUCGAAUCCGGUCGUCGCCUCCA